UACGGAGGGUGCAAGCGUUAUCCGGAUUCACUGGGCUUAAAGGGUGUGUAGGCGGGUAUUUAAGUCAGAGGUGAAAUCUCCAGGCUCAACCUGGAAACUGCCAUUGAUACUAUUUAUCUUGAAUAUCGUUGAGGUUGGCGGAAUAUAUCAUGUAGCGGUGAAAUGCAUAGAUAUGAUAUAGAACACCGAUUGCGAAGGCAGCUAACUAAGCGAUUAUUGACGCUGAGGCACGAAAGCGUGGGGAGCAAACAGG
rnacentral:rRNA from 1 species